CAGAGGGGGCAAGCGUUAUUCGGAAUUAUUGGGCGUAAAGGGCGCGUAGGCGGCUAUCCAAGUGGCGGGUGAAAUCCCUCGGCUUAACCGAGGAACUGCCUGCCAGACUGGAUGGCUCGAGACCGGGAGAGGGUGAGUGGAAUUCCCAGUGUAGCGGUGAAAUGCGUAGAUAUUGGGAGGAACACCAGUGGCGAAGGCGGCUCACUGGACCGGUACUGACGCUGAGGCGCGAAAGCGUGGGGAGCAAACAGGAUUAGAUACCCUGGUAGUCCACGCCGUAAACGAUGAGUGCUUGGUGUAGCGGGUAUCGACCCCUGCUGUGCCGACGUCAACACAUUAAGCACUCCGCCUGGGGAGUACGGUCGCAAGACUG
rnacentral:rRNA from 1 species